UACGGAGGGUGCAAGCAUUAAUCGGAUUUACUGGGCGUAAAGGGCGCGUAGGCGGGUUGUCAAGUCAAGUGUGAAAUUCCGGAGCUCAACUCCGGAGCUGCACUUGAAACUGACAGUCUAUAGAGGGAUGGCGGAGAAAACGGAAUUCCACGUGUAGCGGUGAAAUGCGUAGAUAUGUGGAAGAACACCAGUGGCGAAAGCGGUUUUCUAGCUAUUUCCUGACGCUGAGGCGCGAGAGCAUGGGGAGCAAACAGG
rnacentral:rRNA from 1 species